UGAUCACUUUCAGCUUGUACCAUAUGUCGUCUAUCUAGAUUGUGAACAAAUGACAAAUCUCAGAAUCUUGCAUAAAUUGCACCCAGGCCUGCAUUUGGAAUAAAUUUUAUACUACACAACAGACAUGAUUUACCCAGACAUGAUUUGAGAGAGUGGCUAAUAAUGUGAUGAUGCUGCCGGAGAGAGUCACCUACCCCUAACGCAUCGGUCCAUGUGGCGAAUGUGAAGCCUGUGGUCCUCAACACUCUGAGGACUCCAAGACCAAGCUCUUCACUCCUUUCCUCAAACAAUCUCUUAUCUAUCGCCAUUUACUCCUCAGGAAGCAGAAGGAUAUUGUAUUUCUUAGUCGUAUGUUUAGGAAUGCGUUUAUCUAUGGAGUCCCAGUGUCGUUGCAAGGCCUGCUAAUCCAGCACCAACGAUUACCACAUCCUCCACAGCAACCUCCAUAGGUAACAAAAUGAAGGGGGAUUGUGUCUACGUGUGCACAAAUGGUGGGCCUCAAACAACGUGUUAUCUUACGUAAUAUCAGUCACAGCUCAUGGGAGGCCAUUGAAGAUUCAUGCUAUAUGAAUGUAAGAGUGGGAGUCGUUAUCUAACCAAAGGAAUUAGGCCGAGUUUCCAAGUUCGACCG
rnacentral:lncRNA from 1 species